GGAGCAUGACAUUCUCUCUCUAUCAAAUCUAUGAACUCUAGUAAGGGUUUCAAGUUCCUCCACUAAAAACCCUUAUCUUAACAUUUGCUAGGUAUAUCUGGAAUCUGAUUACCAUUGACCCCUAUUUAGUGAUCCAAACUAUAGCCAAUCUUGGUUAGUUGAGUUUAUCAUGUUUGGACCAACCACUGCUGCCUGGUGAACCUUAUCCUUCC
rnacentral:lncRNA from 1 species